CUGAAGCUGCAGGACGGCAAGCACUACCUCGUGUGGGGUCUCUCCUCUGACCUCUGGGGAGAAAAACCCAACAUCCGUUACAUCAUUGGCAAGGACACCUGGGUGGAGAUUUGGCCCGAGGCAGAAGAAUGCCAGGACGAGGAGAACCAGAAACAGUGCCAGGACCUGGGCGCCUUCGCCGAGAGCAUGGUGGUCUUCGGCUGCCCCAACUGACCACCACCGCACCCCUCCAAUAAAGCUUCGGUCGUACUCCA